rnacentral:rRNA from 1 species
UGAAUACGAGAUGCUACGGCGUCGAAGCAGUCUAUGUCAUACUUCCAAGAAAAGCUUGCACUGUCAUAAACAAAUAAUGCCUGUACCAUAACCGACACAGGUGGGUAGGUAGAGUAUACUAAGGGGCGCGAGAUAACUCUCCCUAAGGAACUCGGCAAAAUGACUCCGUAACUUCGGGAGAAGGAGUGCCUUAUUUAUAAGGUUGCAAUAACAAGAUCCAAGCAACUGUUUACCAAAAACACAGGUCUCCGCUAAGUCGUAAGACGAUGUAUGGGGGCUGACGCCUGCCCAGUGCCAGAAGGUUAAAGAAGUUGGUUAGCAUCCGCGAAGCUGAUAACUGAAGCCCUGGUGAACGGCGGCCGUAACGAUAACGGUCCUAAGGUAGCGAAAUUCCUUGUCGGGUAAGUUCCGACCCGCACGAAAGGCGUAAUGAUUUGGAUACUGUCUCGGAGAGGGGCUCGGUGAAAUAGACUUGUCUGUGAAGAUGCGGACUACCUGCACCAGGACAGAAAGACCCUAUGAAGCUUUACUGUAACCUGAAAUUGAAAUUGGACUUUACUUGCGCAGUAUAGGUGGGAGGCGUUGAGAAUAUUCUUGCGGGAUUAUUGGAGCCAUCAGUGAGAUACCACUCUUGUAAUGUUAGAUUUCUAACUUUGUAUCAUUAUCUGGUCAAAGAACAGUUUCAGGCGGGCAGUUUGACUGGGGCGGUCGCCUCCUAAACGGUAACGGAGGCGCACAAAGGUUUCCUCUGAACGGGUAGAAAUCGUAUCUAGAGUGUAAAGGCAUAAGGAAGCUUGACUGUGAGACCUACAAGUCGAGCAGGGACGAAAGUCGGUCUUAGUGAUCUGACGGUGCUGAGUGGAAAGGCCGUCACUCAACGGAUAAAAGUUACUCUAAGGAUAACAGGCUGAUUUCCCCCAAGAGUUCACAUCGACGGGGAGGUUUGGCACCUCGAUGUCGGCUCAUCGCAUCCUGGGGCGGUAGUACGUCCCAAGGGUUGGGCUGUUCGCCCAUGAAAGCGGUACGCGAGCUGGGUUCAGAACGUCGUGAGACAGUUCGGUCCAUAUCCGGUGUAGGCGUUAGAAUAUUGAGAGGAGCCUUCUUUAGUACGAGAGGACCGAGAAGGACAUACCUCUGGUGUACCAGUUAUCGUGCCAACGGUAAACGCUGGGUAGCUAUGUGUGGAGUGGAUAACCGCUGAAAGCAUCUAAGUGGGAAGCCCACCUCAAGAUAAGUAUUCUC